GACAGAGGCCUCGAGCGUUAGGCGGAAUCACUGGGCUUAAAGCGUGUGUAGGCGGACCUCUAAGUACCUCGUGAAAUCCCACGGCUCACCCGUGGAACCGCUGGGUAUACUGGGGGUCUUGGGCCACUCAGGGGCGACUGGAACAAGCGGUGGAGCGGUGAAAUGCGUAGAUAUCGCUUGGAACGCCGAAGGUGAAAACAGGUCGCUGGGAGUGCGCCGACGCUGAGACACGAAAGCCAGGGGAGCAAACGGG
rnacentral:rRNA from 1 species